rnacentral:rRNA from 1 species
UACGUAGGGUGCAAGCGUUGUCCGGAAUUAUUGGGCGUAAAGAGCUCGUAGGCGGUCUGUCGCGUCGGCUGUGAAAACCUGGGGCUUAACCCCGGGCCUGCAGCCGAUACGGGCAGACUAGAGUACGGCAGGGGAGACUGGAAUUCCUGGUGUAGCGGUGAAAUGCGCAGAUAUCAGGAGGAACACCGGUGGCGAAGGCGGGUCUCUGGGCCGAUACUGACACUGAGGAGCGAAAGCGUGGGGAGCGAACAGG